rnacentral:rRNA from 1 species
GAUGAACGCUAGCGAUAGGCUUAACACAUGCAAGUCGAGGGGCAGCAUGGUCUUAGCUUGCUAAGACUGAUGGCGACCGGCGCACGGGUGCGUAACGCGUAUGCAACUUGCCUCACAGAGGGGGAUAACCCGUCGAAAGACGGACUAAUACCGCGUACACUCUAUUUUGGGCAUCCAAGGUAGAGGAAAUGAAAUUCGCUGUGAGAUAGGCAUGCGUCCCAUUAGCUAGUUGGUGAGGUAACGGCUCACCAAGGCGACGAUGGGUAGGGGAACUGAGAGGUUGAACCCCCACACUGGUACUGAGACACGGACCAGACUCCUACGGGAGGCAGCAGUGAGGAAUAGUGGUCAAUGGGCGAGAGCCUGAACCAGCCAAGUCGCGUGAAGGAUGACUGUCUUAUGGAUUGUAAACUUCUUUUGUAGGGGAAUAAAGAGGGGCACGUGUGCCCCAGUGAAUGUACCCUACGAAUAAGCAUCGGCUAACUCCGUG